rfam:Streptomyces sp. F-3 DNA, scaffold: Scaffold143_001.
GCGCCGCUAGCUCAGUUGGUUAGAGCAGCUGACUCUUAAUCAGCGGGUCCGGGGUUCGAGUCCCUGGCGGCGUA